rnacentral:rRNA from 1 species
UACGUAGGGUGCAAGCGUUGUCCGGAAUUAUUGGGCGUAAAGGGCUCGUAGGCGGUCCAUCGCGUCGGGAGUGAAAAGCUGGGGGCUCAACCCCCAGUCCUGCUUCCGAUACGGGUGGACUAGAGGUAUGCAGGGGGAGAACGGAAUUCCUGGUGUAGCGGUGAAAUGCGCAGAUAUCAGGAGGAACACCGGUGGCUAAGGCGGUUCUCUGGGCAUUACCUGACGCUGGAGGAGCGAAAGCGUGGGGGAGCAAACAGG